rnacentral:rRNA from 1 species
CCCUUAGAUGUUCUGGGCCGCACGCGCGCUACACUGAUGCAGUCAACAAGUAUAUUAUCCUAGGUUGAAAAAUCUGGGUAAUCUUUUGAAACUGCAUCGUGCUGGGGCUUGACGAUUGCAAUUAUUUGUCACAAACGAGGAAUUCCUAGUAAACGCAAGUCAUCAUCUUGCAUUGAUUACGUCCCUGCCCUUUGUACACACCGCCCGUCGCUCCUACCGAUUGGGUGUGCUGGUGAAAUGUUCGGAUCGGCCGUUUGUCGCGGUUUCCGCGUCAUGUGGCUGAGAAGUUCAUUAAACCCUCCCACCUAGAGGAAGGAGAAGUCGUAACA